AGUUGAGUUGCAACAGAGAGCUUGUAACUUGCAAAGCCUAAUAACAUAUUUACUAUCUGGGCCUUUACAGAAAAAAAAAAGCCCCAAAUC